GGAUUAAUAUGUUGGUCGUGCCUUGGUACGUACUGGCAUUAUUGAUUCCUACCUUCUGAAGAACCUCGAUGUCAUUAAUUUGGUGUCUUGGGGAAUCAGGACCGUUACUUUGAAAAAAUUUUAAGAGUGUUUAAAGCAGGCUCGCGCUUGAAUACAUUAGCAUGGAAUAAUGAAAUAGGACGUUUGAUUCUAUUUUGUUGGUUUCUAGGAUCGACGUAAUGA
rnacentral:rRNA from 1 species